GCCAGCAUGGCAUAGUGUUUAGUAUUGGACUAUGGCUCUGGAGACCAGGGUUCGAUUCCCAAUUCGGCCA